rnacentral:sRNA from 1 species
UAAGAUGUGCUGUCGGGAUGUUCAUUGC